rnacentral:rRNA from 1 species
UAGGGUAUCUUCCGCAAUGGACGAAAGUCUGACGGAGCAACGCCGCGUGAGUGAUGAAGGCUUUCGGGUCGUAAAACUCUGUUGUUAGGGAAGAACAAGUGCUAGUUGAAUAAGCUGGCACCUUGACGGUACCUAACCAGAAAGCCACGGCUAACUACGUGCCAGCAGCCGCGGUAAUA